AGAGUUUGAUCCUGGCUCAGAGCGAACGCUGACGGCAGGCCUAAUACAUGCAAGUCGAGCGCCCGUAUCAAUACGGGAGCGGCAGACGGGUGAGUAACACGUGGGAACGUACCCUUCGGUUCGGAAUAACCCAGGGAAACUUGGAUUAAUACCGGAUACGCCCUUACGGGGAAAGAUUUAUUGCCGAAGGAUCGGCCCGCGUCCGAUUAGCUAGUUGGUGGGGUAAAGGCCCACCAAGGCGACGAUCGGUAGCUGGUCUGAGAGGAUGAUCAGCCACACUGGGACUGAGACACGGCCCAGACUCCUACGGGAGGCAGCAGUAGGGAAUAUUGGACAAUGGGCGCAAGCCUGAUCCAGCCCUGCCGCGUGGGUGAUGAAGG
rnacentral:rRNA from 2 species